CCUCAGGCUCGUGUCAGGCUUUUGCUCUACCUCUAACUGGGCUUCGCAGUAACUGCAUAAACUGUCCAUGUCAGACAAAUUUCUGCACGUCUCCUCGUGGCACCUCCUGCUACAGGACACCUUUGAGCACUUCUUAGACAUCCUUGUCCCUUAGGGGAGCCAGCCCAGCCCAGCGGGUGGCUGGAAGGGACGAAGCACGAAGGUUAAACAGCAGCAGGUUUCUCUGCAGCACUGAGCCUGAAGCACCUCCCGAGCCCACACGGCUUCCCUUCACCGGGGGGAGUGGAAUUGGGCCCUAUCUUGCUUCCACCGCUCCCAGGCGUGGCAUUGGGCAGGGCAGGGCCUGUGCCCGCCGUUGGUUCUGGGGCCACACAGAGAUAUCCCCGUUCCUCGAGGGCGCGCUGUCCCCUGGGACACCUGAGGAAUGUCUCGGUGACCGCAACAUGCAGCCGGCAAGGCCUGGCACGGGGACAUGGAGCCCUGAGGUGCAGGAGUCCCCCACACUUACACCCACAAUGCUCCCACCGCCCGUUGUGAGCGGCAGUUGGGACCAACAGCUCCGUGCCCGCAGGGCCGGAUCCUGCUCUCCUGGUGCCACACCAGAGGAUCUAACUGCUGCUGUUGGCCUACGAACUUCUGGAGGUCCAGCCAAGCUUUUUCCCAAACCAAACUAAACCUUGCUGCAUUUCUGGGGUGAAACUUCUUAUUUGUGUUGCAGUUCAGCAGGGGAAGAGGGAUACUGCCCCUUUUUUCUGUUCAGGCUUCGCAUCCUGCUUCUCUUCUCUUUACCACCAACCUGCAGGGACGAGGGCAUGGAGACGUACAGUGCCAUCGAGAUCUCCGCAUUGUACCCCUCGCCCUUUCAUUCCCGGGUACCAUGACUAUUAUUAGCCCUCUCCUGCUGGGGGCAGAUCCAUAACAACAGCAAAACACACUCAACAGCCCUGCCGGGCUUGUAAAAUAUUUACAGCGUGAGAUGGUUUGCUGCCGAGGGGGCCUGGUAGAGCACAGAGACGGCAGCACUGGGAUUUCUGUGCUCUCUGCGGUCUGCUGUGAGGUUCCCUGCUGCGAGAGCCUCAUCCAGCCAGGAGGGAAAAAAAUCCCACAGGGCAAUAGCCAGCACUUGAGGUCAGGGGGUUUCCACCAACUGUCUGACAGCUUCCAGCUGGAAUUUCAGCAAAUUUUCCACUGGCUCUUGUCUGGGAACAUGCGUGAGAGGUUGCACACCAAAGUAUGAGGGCUCCAUAAUGGGGUUAUCAGGGCUAGGGAGUAUUUUUAGAUGUGUGCCAGUGCCUUUAAGACCUCACUACGGCUCAAGACCCCCGUGUCUUGGAGCUUCGAUCUAGGGCCAGAAACCAGGGUGACGCCGUGGAAGCCCUGCAGGGUGCCCAGUCCUGGUGCUGCUGGUAGGGCUGGCCGCAGGGCCUGCUCAUGGCACAGAGCUCCCCUGCCCUCCUGCUGGGCCUGCAUCCUCUGAAACGUGGUGGUGGCCUUGCCUCUGCCCAAACUGAUGUGCUCUGAGCUGCAGGGCCCCCAAUUUCAUGGCUGGGAGAGAAAACAGGCAACAGCCUGAUCUCCUGCCAAGGCACGGGUGUCCAUCUCACGUGCUGAGCGGCGUGGAAAAGCCUCACUGUGCUGGGGUGGUGAAGAAAUGCCAAGGUUGGGCAUGUCACAUUGGUAUUUUUGGAAGGCUUUUGCUGUGGGAUUCCUCAUAGUAACUCUGCACCCUCUGGCUCUGACACUAAACGCAGUGAAUUCAACCAGCCCCGACAUCACGGCGUCUCCUUCCACUGCAGGGAUUCUGCAAGAACAGAGCUUUUAGGGUUCUCUAGGACUUGGUGGAAAAAUAUCAUUCACAGAGCAGAAGAAGAGGCACAGCAGGGAGAUUGAGGCUCAGUGUGUGAAACAGAUCCCAUCUGUUGCUUUGGCCUUGUUUUGUGGCAGGAAGAUCGCUUGAGGCCUGUAGAGCUGGUAACUCACUGCUUAGCCUCUGAUUUAAGAUGUGGCUUAGCCUGACUCCUGUAGGACUUAGGACUUCACACCCUUUGCAUUUAGCUUCUCCCUCAGUCCUGCCCUUCAGCACAUCCCCAGCCUGGUCUUGGGGACCCCUGCUCUGUGUCUCUGUGGGGGAACGGGGGAGAUCGCUCAGCCCCCCAGCCCACAAUGACAACUUCUUUGUUAGCGUUACUCAGCGCCGAUCUCCCCACUGGCCUGGAUCAGGCUCCAGCCCUGUGGCCGCACAAGGAUGCCAGUCAUUGCCCUCCACGAGGGGAAAAAUCACAUUUUUCCUUGGCAACCAAGCUUUUCUGGGGCUCCUCCCUUCCCACAGCAUCCAGACCUCAUCUGCAUUUUAAGCCUCUUCUGCAGCUUCUCACCAAGUUGAUUAAUGGAAAUAAUUGGUCUCUCCGUGCAUCUGGAGCCAGUUGCCGUGACAGCAGUUGUAUUUGUGUUUUGUUCCCAGGUUGAGCUUGUUUUCUGCAUCCCACAGCUUCAAGGUGCCGCUGUCCCCAUCCCUCGGGCAGCCACACAUCCCUCGGGGCUCAGGGAGACAGGGCUGGUCAGGAUGAGCCCCAGCGCCAUGGGAUGGGGCUGGGGCAGCCCCACAACAUGCAGGGUCCCAGGCUGAGCCCUGGAGCAACAUCUCCGCGUCUCCGUCACUGCCGUCGGGAGGAGCUGGGGACAAAGUGCAUGCAGCCGCCGACCCUCCCCACUGCACCGGCUGGUACCGGUAAGCUUCUGGGAGCACCUCCCUUUAUGGCUUGGCUGGGAGCAUGUUGUUUGUUUUUUCCCCUUUCUCAUCCUCUCUAAGGAACAGGUACUGUGUUGGAAAACUUGUUUUCCGGAUUGUUCCGUUUGUGUGGCUCUGGUGACUCGAAGGAAACCCUCAGCAGUGUGGGGCAGCAGUUGAAUCGAGGCUUUGAAUGUGAAAAUUGAGAUCAAGGUGGUGCAGUAAGGCAAAUAAAAGCUUCUGCUGUUCCUUGUAGACUUUCAGAUUCAUCCCCUGGUUCUGCUACAGACCUGUAUGAGCCCAGGAAAAACACCUGAUUUGUGCCUGGCCCCAGUAGAACAGGGAUGAUGCUAGUGUUUGGUUAUCCAGGCAGGUUGGAGGGAUCAGUGCAAUAACUGGCCCUGAAACAUGGGAGAUCCAGGAAAUAUUAGCAACGUGGAAAAUGUUUUUCAUAGCUGUGUUUUGGGGGGCAGAGUUGUAUGUCUGUGCACAGGCUUCCAAGUGGGCUCAAAAUUCUCUUUUCUUUGGUAUAAGAGAAUGGGGAAGUGAAACAGAGCAUUUUAGCUCAUUUUAGCCUUUACACCUGGUCAGAAUCAGCCACUGUGAGUACAAAAAUGAGCAGCUAGAAGAUGCAGGUCUAUGAAUAUCUUUGGGUUUUAGCAUCUCCACUAUGAUGCUACUUGUGUUGGCAGCCUAUGUACUUUAUUUUAAUGGCCUCCAGCUCUUUGGGGCAUCCAAGUCCUCGCCCUCUGGCAAGUGUCCAUGGCAUGGGGGACAUGGAGCCCAGCGCCCUGUCCUGUGCUCAGGGUGCAGUAAGCUUUGGUGUAGCCAUGUUUGUAAACAGCCAUUUAAUCCGUAUCCAUGCUAUGAAUUAACUCAGCCUUAGAGGAUCUCUUCAUGCAUCCUCGUUUCCCAGACACUGUCCCUCAUCUCAGCAAACACGUGAUGGCUUCUCAGUUGGGUGGCCCCUCAUUUCCAAGGUGGCCCCUUCCAGCCAAGAGUCUAUGAAGCCAAAGCACGUCCCACAGCCACCUGAACGGGGCACGCCAACCUCACCAUGAGCAAGCACAGCCCAGAGCCCGAGGGCUGCGUGUGUCUGACGGCCUCUGCCACCGGCCACACGCUCCCCGUGGAGCUGUCCUCACUGCUGCAGCCGCCCCGCCACAGCCACCUCU